UAUCUCUGUAGAGUCUGCAUAUCAAUAAGCGGAGGAAAAGAAACUAACUAGGAUUCCCUCAGUAACGGCGAGUGAAGCGGGAAGAGCUCAAAUUUGAAAUCUUCAAGGUUCUACCUUGACGAAUUGUAGUUUAAAGAAGUGUUUUCUGUUGGAGUUUUGGUAAAAGUUCUUUGGAAUAGGACAUCAUAGAGGGUGAGAAUCCCGUAUUUGACCAUUAUUUCCAGCUUUGUGAUACACUUUCAAAGAGUCGGAUUGUUUGGGAAUGCAGUCCAAAAUGGGUGGUAAAUUUCAUCUAAAGCUAAAUAUUGGCGAGAAACCGAUAGCGAACAAGUACCGUGAGGGAAAGAUGAAAAGAACUUUGAAAAGAGAGUUAAACAGUACGUGAGAUUGUCAAAAGGGAAGCGUUUGACACCAGUGUUGUUUUCUCGAAAAUCAAUUAAAAAAGGCAGGAUUUUGUGUUGUAUUGACUUUAUCAGCUUUCUGCACUCUUUUCUUGUCUUUUUUAAUGCACUUUUCGUUUAACAAGUCAACAUCAAUUUCUUUUGUUGUAAAAGGGUCAUUGGAAGGUGGCUUUCUUUUCGGAGAAAGUGUUUAUAGCCUUUGGCCUCUGCAAUCGGAGAGAUUGAGGUCUGCAGCGUAGAUCCUUCGGGGCUAGAUACAUUAGAUGCUAAGUUAUAGCUUUUUAUAGACAACUUGUUGACUAUGAUUAAGUCAUGUAGCUUACUCGUUAUGCCUAUUUUACCUACGCUUAGGAUGUUGACGAUCAGCUGAGCGCG
rnacentral:rRNA from 1 species